rnacentral:rRNA from 1 species
AGGACUAACGCUGGCGGCGUGCCUAACACAUGCAAGUCGAACGGGGUAGCAAUACCCAGUGGCAGACGGGUGAGUAACACGUGGUCAACCUACCUCUAUGUGGGGGAUAACUAGCCGAAAGGUUAGCUAAUACCGCAUACGAUCGCUUUGGGGCAUCCCUAGGCGAUGAAAGGAGCAAUCCGCAUAGAGAGGGGACUGCGUCCCAUUAGUUAGUUGGUGGGGUAACGGCCUACCAAGACUCCGAUGGGUAGCUGGCUUGAGAGAGCGACCAGCCACACUGGAACUGAGACACGGUCCAGACUCCUAUGGGAGGCAGCAGUGAGGAAUUUUCCGCAAUGGGCGAAAGCCUGACGGAGCGACGCCGCGUGUGGGAAGAAGGCCUUCGGUCGUAACCACUGUCGAAGGGGACGAUAAUGACGGUACCCUUGGAGGAAGCCCGGCUAACUACGCGCCAGCAGCCGC